ensembl:miRNA
AGCUGCGUCUGAAGACAGGGUUUGCUCUUCUGGACUGUUGAGUUCCAUGAGGCAAGUAAGUUCCCAUUACUAAUUACCUAAAGAGCUCUAACAAGUCUGGGGAAGGGUAGAUCGCUGGAGG